rnacentral:rRNA from 1 species
UGGGGAAUUUUGGACAAUGGGGGCAACCCUGAUCCAGCAAUGCCGCGUGUGUGAAGAAGGCCUUCGGGUUGUAAAGCACUUUUGUCCGGAAAGAAAACGCCGUGGUUAAUACCCGUGGCGGAUGACGGUACCGGAAGAAUAAGCACCGGCUAACUACGUGCCAGCAGCCGCGGUAAUACGUAGGGUGCAAGCGUUAAUCGGAAUUACUGGGCGUAAAGCGUGCGCAGGCGGUUUGCUAAGACCGAUGUGAAAUCCCCGGGCUCAACCUGGGAACUGCAUUGGUGACUGGCAGGCUAGAGUAUGGCAGAGGGGGGUAGAAUUCCACGUGUAGCAGUGAAAUGCGUAGAGAUGUGGAGGAAUACCGAUGGCGAAGGCAGCCCCCUGGGCCAAUACUGACGCUCAUGCACGAAAGCGUGGGGAGCAAAACAGGAUUAGAUACCCUGGUAGUCCACGCCCUAAAACGAUGUCAACUAGUUGUUGGGGAUUCAUUUCCUUAGUAACGUAGCUAACGCGUGAAGUUGACCGCCUGGGGAGU